AUGGUUACUAACUAAGGUCUUACUGUUACUAAUAUUGGU
rnacentral:sRNA from 1 species